CAUAAUGGCUGCAGCCCGCAGGCCCAUAUGCUCGCCAUCCUGCGAGGUGGAAGGCCAGCUCUGAUCACAUCCAGCUGCUGGGGAUACGACUGAUCAGAUCCUCAGGUUUUUUGGCAAGAUACUUUUGGAAGAACACCUCAACCAGACCAUACUUCCAAAGAGCUGAACCUUCAGUGCUGCAGGCAGUAGUUUUGUAUUUUGGAGUAUUGUCUUGCACAUCAUUCCCUGACACAGAGACACGGACCACUAAUGGCAUGAUAGGAGCAUGUUUGCCAAACCGUGGCUUGUGCAGCCUCCAUGGAGCCACCUGAGAAAAUUCCCACCCCACUGGCUCCUGGGGUUGGGCUGGGAGAGGAAGGUGUGGCUGUCUGAGGAUGUGGGGCUGCUCAGGAGCAAGGGCUUCUUCAGGGCUGUCUGAUACAGCACAGGAGACACAAAAACUGCUCAAACCCCCAGACUUCCAGCAAAGGGGUUCCUAGAGCUGCAUGCUCUCAACACCAGACUUGAACUGGACUGUUUUAAGGCUGUUCUUCAUUUAAAUCCUAAUCCAAGUAUCAAUCUUGAGCCUACAUCUUCAAAUGAUUCCAACAUCAGCUGAACAUUCCCAGAACUCUGAGGUUAUCUGAUAUUUUAUUAUAAGCAGCCACAAUGCAGUGCUAAUGUUUGCUACUUUCCUAAUGUACAUCACAGGGAUGGGAAGAUUGGAUCUGUGGCAUUCCCAGCUCCAGUAUUUUCAUGAGUUCCCUUAAUACAGUAUUUUCCCCAGCUUGUACUAUUCCUGGUAGAAUAUAGAAUCAUUAAAGUUGGAAAAGAC